GACGAACGCUGGCGGCGUGCUUAACACAUGCAAGUCGAGCGGAAGGCCCUUUCGGGGGUACUCGAGCGGCGAACGGGUGAGUAACACGUGAGUAAUCUGCCCCUGGCUUUGGGAUAGCCACCGGAAACGGUGAUUAAUACCGGAUACGACCACUUCUCGCAUGGGCUGGUGGUGGAAAGUUUUUCGGCCAGGGAUGUGCUCGCGGCCUAUCAGCUUGAUGGUGAGGUAAUGGCUCACCAUGGCUUCGACGGGUAGCCGGCCUGAGAGGGUGACCGGUCACACUGGGACUGAGACACGGCCCAGACUCCUACGGGAGGCAGCAGUGGGGAAUAUUGGACAAUGGGCGGAAGCCUGAUCCAGCAACGCCGCGUGAGGGAUGACGGCCUUCGGGUUGUAAACCUCUUUCAGCAGGGACGAAGCGCAAGUGACGGUACCUGCAGAAGAAGCACCGGCCAACUACGUGCCAGCCGCCGCGGUAA
rnacentral:rRNA from 1 species